ACAGCGAAACCAGCAUCUCAACAGACAUUGUGUGACCGGAGUGUCCUGAUGCGCCGCCAGAAGCCUCACUGAACUUUGAACAAGCUCAGAUUUCAUAUUCAGUGACGACACCAGCGGACAUAAGUGCGGCUAUACCACCUGUUGUGCCGUCUACAGAAACAGGUAAAAAUCCUGCAAAAAUC